GGAAGACACUGCAAAAAUGUGCCAAGAAAUGAAAGCAAAAUGGAAGGGGAAAAAACGGCAACGUCGGGAACGUGUACAUAGAAUAUGCUGACACUGUGCCUGGCAACAGCACUUUUGCAAGAUAAGGAAAUCUUGGUCAUACGUUCCUAGUUCUAAUAGCAAGUGAUACUAAUUUGCAUUAAGAAUGAAAAAGUAAAGCGACAAAAUGGCCGGCCGUAUGAGAAGACGCCAUAUGAAAUACAGUGCAGCCACCCAUAAAGUAGAAAGCACUACUAGACAGGCCUGAACGCUGUAGUGUUUCCUACUUUAUGGACGAGUGUACUGGGCUCUACAAGACAUCACCGCCUGAAGAAUCCUAGCUCUGCAGCAAGAAGAUGCCUGUAUGAGGAAUUAAUUUGCAUGUCUGACAAAAAUGAAUAUUUUCUUACUCUGCUCUGUAAUUAAUAAACUUCAUUGUCAUUUGA